rnacentral:rRNA from 1 species
AGUGAACGCUGGCGGUAGGCCUAACACAUGCCAGUCGAACGGCAGCACAGUAAGAGCUUGCUCUUACGGGUGGCGAGUGGCGGACGGGUGAGGAAUACAUCGGAAUCUACUUUUUCGUGGGGGAUAACGUAGGGAAACUUACGCUAAUACCGCAUACGACCUACGGGUGAAAGCAGGGGAUCUUCGGACCUUGCGCGAUUGAAUGAGCCGAUGUCGGAUUAGCUAGUUGGCGGGGUAAAGGCCCACCAAGGCGACGAUCCGUAGCUGGUCUGAGAGGAUGAUCAGCCACACUGGAACUGAGACACGGUCCAGACUCCUACGGGAGGCAGCAGUGGGGAAUAUUGGACAAUGGGCGCAAGCCUGAUCCAGCCAUACCGCGUGGGUGAAGAAGGCCUUCGGGUUGUAAAGCCCUUUUGUUGGGUAAGAAAAGCAGCAGGUUAAUACCCCGCUGUUCUGACGGUACCCAAAGAAUAAGCACCGGCUAACUUCGUG